GAUACUGGGCGGUGUGAGCCAAGAACCCCACGGAGUCUUCCAGAAGCAUCCUUCAUGGUUCAUUUAAGCAGAGAGUGCACCAUAGCGCUAGUCUCCUUUUACUGACCUGUCGGCUCACAGUGGAACAGCCUGCUUAGAAGGCUUUCGCCCGAUUCUCGGUACCAGGUCGGUGCUGGCGCCGACAAAUGGAGGUCCCACCGAGAUCGGAGAAGAAAGGGGGUACCACCUACGGGACGUCCCUGGAGCCCGGCCGGCAUAGGAGGAGAAGGGACGGAUUGGACGUAAGAUGGGUCAGGAAAGGCCUGGAUGAUUUGGGCUAGCCUAAGUAAAACUUGUCAUAAAAAAGGGACAAGGUAACGGUAAAGUGUUUUUGCAUAUGUGUUCUGUUAGAGUUAUAUUUUAGUCUUUGGACCCUGGCUAGAGAUAGUUUACACCCUAGACAUGAGAGAGAACGGGUUGGGGAAAAACAGUCCUCCCGGACUCUCCACGGUUGCUUUGGAGAAAGAAAAACCUUUUCAGAGCUCUCCUAGGAACAGAGGGAAAGCAGGAACGUCCUGCCUCUCUGCUGGCUCCUAUUGGAGAAAUGCUUAUUUCUGGUUCUGGGUUCCAUAGGUAGGAUAUGUGGGUCCCUUCGGUGGGACACCAUCUAGUUUUUUCCCUUUAUGUCUAUUGUUUGUCCUUGGUGCACCAAGCUGUCCAUGUCUGUCAGUUUAUGUCUGUGGUUUUUGUUUCUCGUUGUUUAAAUGUUUUGUGUUUCAUGUUUAAAAGAAAAGGUUAAAAUUUUAAAUGCUGGUUGAUUCACCCAUUGAUGUAGUUUUAACUCCUUUCAAAAAAGGUACAAAUAAAUAAAAAGUUUCAAUUGGCUUUUGGAGCCUACAUCUGUAGCUAGAAGCCUAAAUCUGCUGGGCAAGCUCCCCAGGGGGCUGGCUAAAUGUUUACACUAGCCAAUCUUAAAGGAGCCAGCAGCUCCUCAGCUUCUAUGUUAAGGGAGCAGAUGGCUGUUUCUCUUAGAAAAAUCCCUGACUUAUUAUUAGACUUAGCAGGUGACAAGGUGCUUCUCUUAAAAUCAUAGCUAGAAAAGUAAAAAUGGUGCUUGGUCUAAAUAUUAAAGAUAGGUGUAGCCACUUCAAUUUUGUUUCUGAUUGGUUUUAAAUGUAUAAAUAUGCUCUAUAUGCCUUGGUUAUGGACUAUUGGCUUUUAGGUUAUUGGAUAUGGUUAAAAAAGUAUAAUGUUGGUAACAGAAAGUUGGCUUAAAACUGUUAUUUGGAUGAAGUCAUUCUAGACAACAUGUGGCAUGAGCCAACCUAGGGAAACAGGUCUAAAUUGAGAUAAUAUUUUUAUGGAACUCUUAUUCUAGAAACCAGGCUUCUAAAAGAAUUUAGGGCAAUGUCUCUUUGUUGAGGUAUUGGAGACCGCACCAUCGUGCAUUCAUAUGUAGGAAUUGGCAGUCAAACUUUGUAGCAUGAAGGAUAGACUCGGUGUUUUGGAGACUGGAUUUUGGAGACUAGAUUGUUAGAGGUUAAGUUUUGCUUUCCAUAGUUCUGGUUUGCCCUGAAGUUAUCUGUAUUUUAAUGCUAAUUCCACUGCCCCAAGGACAGCUGCCUAGUCACUACUCAGAACUCAGGUGACCUAGUGGUUGUGCUCUGGUGUUACAAGGAGAACGUAAGGAUUGUGAUUAAGGAUUGCCAGUGUUACAUUGAGUAACUCAAACUUAUUUAUAAUUGAGAAAAAAAAAUCAAACAGGUAGAGAUUGUUACAAGAUUUACGAAGGAUUGAUGAGGUUUUAGAACUUGUGAGAGCAUUAUAGCCUGUUUGCUUACUUCAACCGCCAUUCAAGAUAGAUUUAGAGGAUUGCUAACAGCCUUGUAUUAUGUAAUUUUGUUGCUUCUUCGAUGUAAGAAGUUAGAACCUUAAAUCUUUCAAUGUAUAUGGAAAUUUUUACUACAAACCUUUGCUCUCAAAAUGAGCUUUAAUAUUUGGGGAGUAGCUGUUACACUACUCAGGAAAAGAAUAUUUGAAGCUAAUUUUAAGCUUCUAAGGAUAUGUUAAUUGGCUAAGUACCUCACCCUACCAGAGGACUUAGGUCUUUGUUAUGCACAUUGGAGAUAAAGCUUCAGCUGUGUUAGUACAGAGUUGUGGACUGGAGUCAUAAAAGUAUUUUAAAUAGAAACCUGGUAAAACAUAUCUUAUUCCAAACAACAGUUAAUUGGUUAUUACAAAAUACUGAUAUUUGGCCUAUUACAUAUACAAAUUUCAGGCAAAAUUGAUAAUUUUACUCUUUACAUGCUUUUGUAUUUCCUGUAAAUUUGUGCAUGCAACCCAUAGAAAAUGCGCUUAGUGUAUUUAUAGGUGGUUCAUCUAAUGAAAAGGCUACAUGUAUGAUUGGAUCACUUGUUUAUUCUCUUGAGUUUCCCCUGCUUCAAUACAGACUAUUAAAUUACGUGCUGUAGCCACUGUUUUUAAAUGUUAAAAAUCAAGCUUUCAAUUCAUAUACUGAUAGCCAAUGUGUGGCUUGUGGUUUUACAAUUGAUUAAAAGGUUUUCCUUUUUUUUUAGAUACUACUAGCCCUCAAAUUUUACAAUUACUUAAUGCUUUAUUAGAGGCAGGUUUUCUACAUAAAAUCAGUGAGUGAUGAUUUCAGUGUAAAUUGUCUGACAACUCACUGUCCUUUCAGUGCUCUGGCUCAGACAACUAAACAAAACCAUAGACCCAGCUCUUUGAAAAUGGUAAUGGAGUUGAUAACACACCCUCACAAAAAGAGGAAGACUCCAUUUGCUUACUUUCAACGCCCAGCCUCACCCUGCCAACUCAGGGAUUUCUAAAUAAGGCUAAAUCUGGACCUUGUUUACAGGAUUUGACAUUUCUAAUUAAUGCUUAUGUUUAGGUAAAUAAAGCUGGUGAGGGGCUGGAGAGAUGGCUUAGUGGUUAAGAGCACUAAGUACUGUUCCUUUAUAGGCCAUUUAAAAACUCAAACUGUAUUGCCUGGACCCCUUAGCAAGGGAGGACAAUAAUACCAGGCAGAUUAUAGGCCUUACAUAGAAACAAUUAGUCAAAAAGUCUCAUUCUUUAUAUCAUCAAAACAAUAAUGCUGGAAACAAUAAUUUGGUAUACAAGUCAAUUUAUAAAUACAAGUGCUCAGUGUCCUCAAUUUAAUCCUCGAGGACUUAUCUUAAUAAAUAAUAUUUUAACAAUUUUAAUAAAUAAAAGGGGGAACUAUCCCUGAAUGCUAAUAAUGCUCCUUUUAUUUCAAUUUUAAAAUUUGGAUGCCAAGGUUUAUGGCACCCUACAACUAGGCAUACUUCUGCCUAGGUGAAAUAGAAAGACCCACAUAUUGGCAUGAUCCUGUCCAGGUAUUUUAUAUGGGGAAGAGGGAAUGUUUGUGUUUUUUCUACAGAAUGCUACAGGAGUGUGCCAGCUGCCUGAGAGUCUGGUGAGCCAUGCUGAUCCUGGGAGCAUGAAGAUUCAGCUCUCGUGGUUCUGGUUCCUGGAGUCAUUCCUGUGCCCUUAGAGGAAGAUGGAGGAUUCCCCCUCAUCUUUUGUCAUCACAGAAAUUCUGGCGUUGCUGCAGUCAGUGUGUCCUGUCCCACCGAGGCCUGCCCUCCGACCCUCUGUGCACUGCUGCUUGCUGGAAGCUGCUGUGGACUGGGGAACUCUGCCCUGGUUCUGCAGAUCUCAGACAUGGUUCCAUUGUCUGCUGGUUGGUCCAGAGAAGAAUGACCGAUCCUGAACUGUCCUGGGAAAGACCUAGGCAUUUUCGCUGCUAUUGUGGCAGCCAUUACUGCUGCAGCCAUUGUGUCUGCAGUGUCUGGAGUUACCCUCCCCCAAUCUAUUGUUAGGCAAGCACAGUGGGUGAACUUUCUGGAGUAGUUGCUAACAAUUGGGAAUUCUAAAUUUUAUUAUAGGAGUGGCUUGACUACGGCCCUUGGUGGUAGCAGCUGAGGAGAACCAGAUGAGGUGCCCACUACUUAUCGGGAGAGGCUCAACUUCCACAAUCUCUUAAAUUAACGCCAUCUGGCCUCUGCUCCUUCGCCCCUGGGCUCAAGUAAGAGGAAUGACAAGAUGAUCCAAUGUAGCUAUCCUCAGGGACGGGCAACUUCCUCUGACCCUUGACCAAUCUAAGGCAGGAACCUUGGGGGCGACAAGGUGAUCCUAUGACAGAUAAGGCUGGGGUUUGAGAGGUCGAUCCUAAGACAGAGGUGGCUACACCCCGUUUAAACGUACGGGCCGGUCAAAUGCUCCUCUGCCCAGUUUCUCCCCCAAUAAACACACACGUAUAGCCCAGAACAGUGUGUUACAGCAUAAGUUCAUUUCUGGCCAUUGGGGUGCAGUCCUAACUGCAAGAGUGGCUCGCCAUGGCCGAGCUGGGCACUCUGUGAGGCAUGUCUGAUCUCUCUCAGACCACUACUUCCACCUAAUGGUUUUUUAUAAAAGAAUAACGGGGGAGAUGUAGUGCCAUAUUGGAUUUGGGCCUGGCUGCUUUGUAACUGCAUGGCCACAGUUAAGAAGUCAUGGGAUUGUUGGACAGAGGCCUCUCCCAUGUAUUUACGGCACAGGAAGAAAAGACCAAGUAGUAAACACCCGAUAUCUUCACUGCAUGACCUCUGCUGAGCCCAGCUGAUGCAUGUGGAACUGACACACCUGGACCACACCUGGGUGGUGGUCAAUUUACUUCUGCCUUUUACUUCCUCAGCCUUUAUCCUUGAGAUUUAGGCUGGUCUUCUGGGAUUUCUCCCUAAUUAAUUCAGGUCUCCUAGUUGGUCUUUUGUUACCAAAGUCACGAGCCAGGUAGUCACGAGCCAGGGUUUCCCACUGUGCUUCCCAGUUAUUUUCUACCUGGAGACUUGGGUAUAUAAGUGGUGAAUAAAGCUACAGGAGACUCUCACUAUUUCUCUCACUCUCACUAUUCCUCUCACUCUCACUAUUCCUCUCACUCUCACUAUUCCUCUCACUCUCACUCUUCCUUCCGCUCUUCCUCUCUCUCUCUCUCUCCCUCUCUUCCUCUCCUGGCUUGACACGAUAA